GGGGACGUAGCUCAGUCCGGUCAGAGCACCUGCUUUGCAAGCAGGGGGUCGUGGGUUCGAGUCCCACCGUCUCCA
rnacentral:tRNA from 1 species